UCACUAUGUAUAUGUUGUGAUAGUGUGUGAGGUGUGUAUGUUGUGUCAUUGUGUGUAUGUUGUGUUAGUUUGGGAGGUGUGUAUGUUGUCACUGUGUAUAUGUUCUGAUAUUGUGUGAGAUGUGUAAGUUAUCACUAUGAGAGGUGUGUAUGUUAUCACUAUGUGAGGUGUGUUUGUUAUCACUGUGUGUGAGGUGUGUAUGUUAUCACUGUGUGUGAAGUGUGUAUGUAAUCACUGUGUGUGAGGUGUGUAUGGUGACACGGUAUGUUAUCACUGUGUGAGGUGUGUAAAUUUCACUGUGCGUAUGUUGUGGUAGUGAGGUGUGUCUGUUAUCACUGUAUGUGAGGUGUGUCUGUUAUCACUGUAUGUGAGGUGUCUAUGUUAUCACUGUGUGUGAGGUGUGUAAAUUUCACUGUGCGUAUGUUGUGGUAGUGAGGUGUGUCUGUUAUCACUGUGUGUGAGGUGUGUAUGUUAUCACUGUGUGUGAGGUGUGUAUGUUAUCACUGUGUGUGAGGUGUGAAUGUUAUCACUGUGUGUGAGGUGUGUAUGUUAUCACUGUGUGUGAUGUGUGUAUGGUGACAUGGUAUGUUGUGAUAGUGAGGUGUGUAUGUUAUCCCUGUGUGAGGUGUCUAUAUUAUCACUAUGUGAGGUGUGUAUGGUGACAUGGCAUGUUGUCACUGUGUGUAUGUUGUGAUAGUGAGGUGUGUAUGUUAUCACUGUGUGAGGUGUGUAUGUUGUCACUGUGUGU
rnacentral:lncRNA from 1 species